AACGCACAUUGCGCCCCUUGGUAUUCCGGGGGGCAUGCCUGUUCGAGCGUCAUUACACCAAUCAAGCCUGGCUUGGUAUUGGGUCUUCGUCCCUCCGAAAGGAGCGGGCGGGCCUCGAAAACUUCGGCGAAGUCUCACCGGCUUUGGGCGUAGCAGAUUUUUGUUACAACGUCCGCGAGUCUGGGGGCACUGCUGCCGUCAAAACAUCCUUUUAUUAUCAAGGUUGACCUCGGAUCAGGUAGGAAUACCCGCUGAACUUAA
rnacentral:misc_RNA from 1 species